rnacentral:rRNA from 1 species
AGUGAACGCUGGCGGCAGGCCUAACACAUGCAAGUCGAACGGCAGCACAGAGGAGCUUGCUCCUUGGGUGGCGAGUGGCGGACGGGUGAGGAAUACGUCGGAAUCUGCCUAUUUGUGGGGGAUAACGUAGGGAAACUUACGCUAAUACCGCAUACGACCUUAGGGUGAAAGCGGAGGACCUUCGGUCGUUCGCGCAGAUAGAUGAGCCGACGUCGGAUUAG